UCCGCUCCACAGCUCAGCCGGUGGAGAAGGAGACUCGCGCUCUCAGGGUCGCGGGUUCGAGUCCCGCGCUGAGCGAAA